UACGAAGGUCCCAAGCGUUGUUCGGAAUCACUGGGCGUAAAGGGUGCGUAGGCGGCGCGGAAAGUCAGAUGUGAAAGCCCCGGGCUCAACCCGGGAACUGCAUCCGAUACUCCCGCGCUAGAGGAUUGGAGAGGAGUCUGGAAUUCACGGUGUAGCAGUGAAAUGCGUAGAUAUCGUGAGGAACACUCGUGGCGAAGGCGAGACUCUGGACAAUUCCUGACGAUGAGGCACGAAGGCCGGGGGAGCACACAGG
rnacentral:rRNA from 1 species